rnacentral:rRNA from 1 species
GGGUUUCCGCCCUUCAGUGCUGCAGCAAACGCAUUAAGCACUCCGCCUGGGGAGUACGACCGCAAGGUUGAAACUCAAAGGAAUUGACGGGGGCCCGCACAAGCGGUGGAGCAUGUGGUUUAAUUCGAAGCAACGCGAAGAACCUUACCAGGUCUUGACAUCCUUUGACCACUCUAGAGAUAGAGCUUUCCCUUCGGGGACAAAGUGACAGGUGGUGCAUGGUUGUCGUCAGCUCGUGUCGUGAGAUGUUGGGUUAAGUCCCGCAACGAGCGCAACCCUUAUUGUUAGUUGCCAUCAUUUAGUUGGGCACUCUAGCGAGACUGCCGGUGACAAACCGGAGGAAGGUGGGGAUGACGUCAAAUCAUCAUGCCCCUUAUGACCUGGGCUACACACGUGCUACAAUGGGAAGUACAACGAGUCGCUAGACCGCGAGGUCAUGCAAAUCUCUUAAAGCUUCUCUCAGUUCGGAUUGCAGGCUGCAACUCGCCUGCAUGAAGCCGGAAUCGCUAGUAAUCGCGGAUCAGCACGCCGCGGUGAAUACGUUCCCGGGCCUUGUACACACCGCCCGUCACACCACGAGAGUUUGUAACACCCGAAGUCGGUGAGGUAACCUU